rnacentral:tRNA from 1 species
GGGGAUGUGGCUUAGUGGUAGAGUACUUGCCUAGCAUGCAUGAAGCCCUGGGUUCAAUUCCUCAGUACCA